rnacentral:rRNA from 1 species
GAUGAACGCUAGCGGUAGGCCUAACACAUGCAAGCCGAGCGGUAUUGUUUCUUCGGAAAUGCGAGAGCGGCGUACGGGUGCGUAACACGUGUGCAACCUGCCUUUAUCUGGGGGAUAGCCUUUCGAAAGGAAGAUUAAUACUCCAUAAUAUAUUGAACGGCAUCGUUUAAUAUUGAAAGCUCCGGCGGAUAGAGAUGGGCACGCGCAAGAUUAGCUAGUUGGUGAGGUAACGGCUCACCAAGGCGAUGAUCUUUAGGGGGCCUGAGAGGGUGAUCCCCCACACUGGUACUGAGACACGGACCAGACUCCUACGGGAGGCAGCAGUGAGGAAUAUUGGUCAAUGGGUGCAAGCCUGAACCAGCCAUCCCGCGUGAAGGACGACUGCCCUAUGGGUUGUAAACUUCUUUUGUAUAGGGAUAAACCUACCCUCGAGAGGGUAGCUGAAGGUACUAUACGAAUAAGCACCGGCUAACUCCGUG